rnacentral:rRNA from 1 species
UACGGAGGGUGCAAACGUUGCUCGGAAUCAUUGGGCGUAAAGCGCACGUAGGCGGACCAUCAAGUCGGUUGUGAAAUCCCCAGGCUCAACCUGGGAACUGCGUCCGAUACUGGAUGGCUUGAAUUCGGGAGAGGGAUGCAGAAUUCCAGGUGUAGCGGUGAAAUGCGUAGAUAUCUGGAGGAAUACCGGUGGCGAAGGCGGCAUCUUGGACCGACAUUGACGCUGAGGAGCGAAAGCUAGGGGAGCAAACGGG